CAGGCGGUUAGAUUGCACAGGCCCUGAACCCCAUCCUAUGUUUUCAUUUUCAACUGUGAGGUUUGUAUUUCAGUUUAGAAAAUACUCAAGUUGGGCCGGGUGCGAAACCCCGUCUCUAGUAAAAAUACAAAAGAAAAAAGAAAAACUGGGCCGGGCGUGCUGGCUCACGCCUGUAAUCCCAACACUUUGGGAGGUUGAGGCGGGUGGAUCACGAGGUCAGGAGCUCAAGACCAGCCUGGCCAAUAUGGUGAAACCCUGUCUCUAUUAAAAAUACAAAAAUUAGCUGGAUGUGGUGGCACGCGCCUGUAGUCCCG
rnacentral:lncRNA from 1 species